GAUGAAGAACGCAGCGAAAUGCGAUAAGUAAUGUGAAUUGCAGAAUUCAGUGAAUCAUCGAAUCUUUGAACGCACAUUGCGCCCCCUGGUAUUCCGGGGGGCAUGCCUGUCCGAGCGUCAUUACAACCCUCAAGCUCAGCUUGGUGUUGGGCCCCGCCGCCCCGGCGGGCCCUAAAGUCAGUGGCGGUGCCGUCCGGCUCCGAGCGUAGUAAUUCUUCUCGCUCUGGAGGCCCGGUCGUGUGCUCGCCAGCAACCCCCAAUUUUUUUCAGGUUGACCUCGGAUCAGGUAGGGAUACCCGCUGAACUUAAGCAUAUCAAUAAGCGGAGGA
rnacentral:misc_RNA from 1 species